rnacentral:rRNA from 1 species
AUUGAACGCUGGCGGCAGGCCUAACACAUGCAAGUCGAGCGGCAGCGGGACCUUCGGGUUGCCGGCGAGCGGCGGACGGGUGAGUAAUGCCUAGGAAUCUGCCGGUUAGUGUGGGAUAACGCGGGGAAACUCGCGCUAAUACCGCAUACGUUCUACGGGAGAAAGCGGGGGCUCUUCGGACAUCGCGCUAACAGAGGAGCCUCGGUCGGAUUAGCAAGUUGGCGGGGUAAUGGCCCACCAAGGCGACGAUCCGUAACUGGUCUGAGAGGAUGAUCAGUCACACUGGAACUGAGACACGGGCCAGACUCCUACGGGAGGCAGCAGUGGGGAAUAUUGGACAAUGGGCGAAAGCCUGAUCCAGCCAUGCCGCGUGUGUGAAGAAGGUCUUCGGAUUGUAAAGCACUUUAAGUCGGGAGGAAGGGCUGUAGGCUAAUACCUUGCAGUUUUGACGUUACCGACAGAAUAAGCACCGGCUAACUUCGUGCCAGCCGCCGCCGUAA